AUUGAACGCUGGCGGAAUGCUUUACACAUGCAAGUCGAACGGCAGCACGGGUGCUUGCACCUGGUGGCGAGUGGCGAACGGGUGAGUAAUACAUCGGAACGUACCCAGUUAUGGGGGAUAACUAACCGAAAGGUUAGCUAAUACCGCAUACGCCCUGAGGGGGAAAGCGGGGGACCGUAAGGCCUCGCGUAAUUGGAGCGGCCGAUGCCUGAUUAGCUUGUUGGUGAGGUAAAGGCUCACCAAGGCGACGAUCAGUAGCAGGUCUGAGAGGAUGAUCUGCCACACUGGAACUGAGACACGGUCCAGACUCCUACGGGUGGCAG
rnacentral:rRNA from 1 species